rnacentral:tRNA from 1 species
AGCCGCAUAGCUUAGUUGGAAGAGCACUGCGCUCAUAGUGCAGAGACGUGGGUUCGAAUCCCACUGCGGCCA